rnacentral:rRNA from 1 species
AGUCGAGCGGCAGCACGGGUACUUGUACCUGGUGGCGAGCGGCGGACGGGUGAGUAAUGCCUAGGAAUCUGCCUGGUAGUGGGGGAUAACGUCCGGAAACGGGCGCUAAUACCGCAUACGUCCUACGGGAGAAAGUGGGGGAUCUUCGGACCUCACGCUAUCAGAUGAGCCUAGGUCGGAUUAGCUAGUUGGUGAGGUAAUGGCUCACCAAGGCUACGAUCCGUAACUGGUCUGAGAGGAUGAUCAGUCACACUGGAACUGAGACACGGUCCAGACUCCUACGGGAGGCAGCAGUGGGGAAUAUUGGACAAUGGGCGAAAGCCUGAUCCAGCCAUGCCGCGUGUGUGAAGAAGGUCUUCGGAUUGUAAAGCACUUUAAGUUGGGAGGAAGGGUACUUACCUAAUACGUGAGUAUUUUGACGUUACCGACAGAAUAAGCACCGGCUAACUCUGUGCCAGCAGCCGCGGUAAUACAGAGGGUGCAAGCGUUAAUCGGAAUUACUGGGCGUAAAGCGCGCGUAGGUGGUUUGUUAAGUUGGAUGUGAAAGCCCCGGGCUCAACCUGGGAACUGCAUCCAAAACUGGCAAGCUAGAGUAUGGUAGAGGGUGGUGGAAUUUCCUGUGUAGCGGUGAAAUGCGUAGAUAUAGGAAGGAACACCAGUGGCGAAGGCGACCACCUGGACUGAUACUGACACUGAGGUGCGAAAGCGUGGGGAGCAAACAGGAUUAGAUACCCUGGUAGUGCACGCCGUAAACGAUGUCAACUAGCCGUUGGGAGCCUUGAGCUCUUAGUGGCGCAGCUAACGCAUUAAGUUGACCGCCU